AUGAGCACUGCUUUUCCAGAUCAGAAAAUUUUGUUAUUUUUUUUUUCCUUUUACUCUCUCCUAUGCCUUCCCACGCAAUUAAUCUGUAUCUAUUUUCUGUUCUCUUGAAAUAUUUAGCACUAGAAAACUCUCUCUUUCUCUUAUUUCUCUCUCAAUGCACGCGUCUUCUCCAUCACCUCCCCAGGAUUUGAAGAGAAAAACAAGUCUUGAAUUAGAAGAUACAAAUAUAAUGUUCUGCUCAGAAAUGUAGGAUCCAGAGGGAACAUGCCUAAAACUAAUAUGAGCUCGAUAUGAAAUAGUUGGAUUGACAUUUCCAAAGAAAUAUUCAUGGAGUCGAUAAUUCUGAUAUCUAUUUUGACAAAUAAAAUAUAUGCUCUUGUUGAAGCCCUGCCAAGCUAUGGUCUCGAGUGCAAUGAACAGGGGAGACUACCGAUGAAAGUGUGUAGCAAGAAACGAAGAUAUAAAGAGAAGGAAAAAAGUCCAAACUUUCAAGAUAAAUUGCCUGCAUCGUUUGUAUUUCAUAAUUGUAGAUUUUUUUUUACACAUUCAGUUUUAGUUUUCAUUACAUUCUUGUGAAUUUGGUGAAACGUGUGUAGUUAUACAACUCCAGAUUGGGGCU